ACGGGAGGCAGCAGUGGGGAAUAUUGGACAAUGGGCGCAAGCCUGAUCCAGCCAUGCCGCGUGAGUGAAGAAGGCCUUCGGGUUGUAAAGCUCUUUUGUCCGGAAAGAAAAGCCUUCGGUUAAUACCCGGGGGUGAUGACGGUACCGGAAGAAUAAGCACCGGCUAACUUCGUGCCAGCAGCCGCGGUAAUACGAAGGGUGCAAGCGUUACUCGGAAUUACUGGGCGUAAAGCGUGCGUAGGUGGUUCGUUAAGUCUGAUGUGAAAGCCCUGGGCUCAACCUGGGAAUGGCAUUGGAAACUGGCGACCUAGAGUGCGGUAGAGGGUAGUGGAAUUCCCGGUGUAGCAGUGAAAUGCGUAGAGAUCGGGAGGAACAUCCGUGGCGAAGGCGACUACCUGGACCAGCACUGACACUGAGGCACGAAAGCGUGGGGAGCAAACAGGAUUAGAUACCCUGGUA
rnacentral:rRNA from 1 species